GCUCUAGCCAUUUUUGGCAGCAGGUUGCAGGUCGCUGACGGUGAAAGAAAAUGGAUAUACGGCGUUUUUUCAAGGAGAAAGUGAACUUGCUGCAGCCCAAUAUCUCCUUCAGUGCUCCUGAUGGAUGGUUUCCACUGGGGACCUCAGUGGCCAGAGGUGACCAGGGGCCACAGCUUCUCCAUCAUCUGCUCCACCAAAGCACAGUAUCCAGGAGGCUCCUUCCAAUUGGAGUUCAGUGGAUCCAGUAUCACCAGAACUCAGUCAGCUGUUAACCACUCAACCACCUUCUUUCCUGAGGCAGAUCUUGUCCAUCAGGGAAAAUACAGCUGUUUUUAUGAAGUAACUGUCUUUAUGAACCUUCAGGUGUCCCAACACUGAACUCUUGGUUGUUACUGUGAAAGGUACAGUAACAUGCACAAUAUUUGCUCAUUUGCUGUCUUCGAAGAAAAUCUUAAUCUCUCACAGCAUCACUGGCUCCUUUCAUCGGUUCUGGAGUGGCAGGACUGUUACUCAAAUUAAUGACAAUCAUCAUUUUCUUCAUGAAAAGUUGUAAAAAACAAAAAGAUCAGCUGGUUGUAAAGACAGGUCAUAAACAUUGUGGGUACUUGCUGUAUUGAUUACACCGCAUUUAUACAGGGUGAUUCAAAAAGAUUAAUCUGACUUCAAAUUGCCAUAUUUUUACAAGCAUGAGGCACCGAGGAACCAAUCACAUUCCAAUUGAAAGAGGGGGUUUUAGAGUUUCUGACUGUUUUUGGCCUGUCUCUCAUUUACGAUUUUGUCUUGCCCCUUUUUGCCUUCUAGAGAAUAAACAUCUCUUUUAUCGUGA